rnacentral:rRNA from 1 species
CCUACGGGGGGCUGCAGUCGAGAAUCUUCCGCAAUGGGCGCAAGCCUGACGGAGCGAUGCCGCGUGAGGGAUGAAGGCCUUCGGGUCGUAAACCUCUGUCGCCCGGGACGAAACAAAUGACGGUACCGGGAGAGGAAGCUACGGCUAACUACGUGCCAGCAGCCGCGGUAAUACGUAGGUAGCAAGCGUUAUUCGGAUUUACUGGGCGUAAAGGGUCCGCAGGGGGCCUGUCAAGUCUGAUGUGAAAUGCCACGGCUCAACCGUGGAACGGCAUUGGAAACUGACGGGCUAGAGUGCAUGAGGGGUGAGCAGAAUUCCUGGUGUAGCGGUGGAAUGCGUAGAUAUCAGGAGGAAUACCGAUGGCGAAGGCGGCUCACUGGCGUGCAACUGACCCUCAGGGACGAAAGCGUGGGUAGCAAACAGGAUUAGAUACCCCGGUAGUC